UACAGAGGUCUCAAGCGUUGUUCGGAUUCAUUGGGCGUAAAGGGUGUGUAGGUGGCGCCGUAAGUCGGGUGUGAAAUUUCGGGGCUUAACUCCGAAACUGCAUUCGAUACUGCGGUGCUUGAGGACUGGAGAGGAGACUGGAAUUCAUGGUGUAGCAGUGAAAUGCGUAGAGAUCAUGAGGAAGACCAGUGGCGAAGGCGGGUCUCUGGACAGUUCCUGACGCUGAGACACGAAGGCCAGGGGAGCAAACGGG
rnacentral:rRNA from 1 species